GUGAGAAUGUUGGCAUGAGUAGCGAGAUGUGGGUGAGAAUCCCACAGGCCGUAAACCCAAGGUUUCCAGGGGAAGGUUCGUCCGCCCUGGGUUAGUCGGGACCUAAGCUGAGGCCGAAAGGCGUAGGUGAUGGACAACAGGUUGAUAUUCCUGUACUACCGAUAACCGUUUGAGAGAAGGGAUGACACAGUAGGAUAAGCUAAGCACACUGUUGGUUAUGUGUGCCCAAGCAUUGAGGCAGUCAAAGUAGGCAAAUCCGCUUUGAUAAUGCUGGGAUGUGAUGGGGAGCGAAAUUUAGUAGCGAAGUAGCUGAUUUCACACUGUCAAGAAAAGUCUCUAUCGAGGUUAAAGGUACCCGUACCGCAAACCGACACAGGUGGGUGAGGAGAGUAUCCUAAGGCCAGCGAGAGAACUGUUGUUAAGGAACUCGGCAAAAUGACCCCGUAACUUAGGGAUAAGGGGUGCCACCAUCAGGUGGCCGCAGAGAAUAGGCCCAAGCGACUGUUUACCAAAAACAUAGGUUUCUGCUAAGUCGCAAGACGAUGUAUAGGAGCUGACGCCUGCCCGGUGCUGGAAGGUUAAGGGGAUCUGUUAGAGCAAUCGAAGCAGUGAACUUAAGCCCCAGUAAACGGCGGCCGUAACUAUAACGGUCCUAAGGUAGCGAAAUUCCUUGUCGGGUAAGUUCCGACCCGCACGAAAGGCGUAACGAUUUGGGCACUGUCUCAACAACAGACUCGGUGAAAUUGUAAUUCCGGUGAAGAUGCCGGAUACCUGCGACAGGACGGAAAGACCCCAUGGAGCUUUACUGUAGCUUGACAUUGGGUCUUGGUACUACAUGUACAGGAUAGGUGGGAGGCUUUGAAACCAGGACGCCAGUUUUGGCGGAGCCAUCCUUGGGAUACCACCCUUGUAGUACUGGGACUCUAACCAUAGGCCAUGAAUCUGGUCUUGGGACACUGUCAGG
rnacentral:rRNA from 1 species